UCUUACAUAUGCAAUCCCAUUUAACACAAAAUAACAGGCUUCAAACUAUUCUGCUUCAAACUAUUUCCCGCCACUUGAUUGCCAAGAGACCUGGAAUUCCCAGCACCAAGGACAUUGCUUCCCAAAGGCCUCUGUUCAAGUGUUCUCCUCUCUAUGAGAGUCACCUAUGAACAACCUUUCUCUUAAGAGCCCAGUGAUUGACAGAGAUCAUGUGACCAUAGCCAGUAGACCCCAAAGGGCAGACCUGGUGCCAAUGGAUCCAAAUUGCAAAAGAGGCAAAUUGAGGCUGGAUAUCAGGAAAAACCUUGUGCCAAGGAGAGUUGUCCCAAGGAGGAGUGGGCUACCUCCAGUUGAGCGGAUUGACUUCUUCGAGUCCUUCAAUGGAUCAGAAGCUCCCUGAGAACAGGCAGUGACUUUCUCCUAUGGGAUUUGUGGAUCAGCACAUUGUAGGUUAUGUAAGAG